GUUUUAAAGUCAGGGUAUUUCAAGUAAGCCACCACUGUGUGGUCAUUACGAAAGAGCUGGGGCAGAAACUAUCUUUUAAAAGGAGACGAACGAACAGUGGAAUGGCCAGGAGGUAAGAGGCAGGAAGUCAGAGCAGAAAACAGGGAGAACAAAGGACAGAGAGAAGUCACGACGGGCAGUUAGGUCUGCAGCAGUGUAGAAUUCAGAGUCUUCCCACUUUACAAGGCGAAAGAAGAGAAGUGGAUAUAAGAAUGAGUAACACAAAUUUUUUUAAUAUCAUCACUCAGAAGACUGAAGCAAGAGGAUUUCCCGGACAAGGAUGAGGUACAUGAAGUGCAUGAGGCACACACAGGCAAAGGCUACAAAUGAACAACAAAGUCCCCUUGGUUUUGCAUCCUGAUAGAGUGAUCUGUGAUGCUUUACAAACAACUUGGGCUUACAGAGCCUGCACCCCAAAGGGCCAGCCUCACAGAAGACAAUUGCUGUUGCAUGACUCACUGCCUAACAGACUGUGAACUGCCUAGGGGGAUGGGAAAGCUCUGCGUAGAAUUUACGAGAGGUGGUCGUAAGACAGAAUUUGUGUUCGCAUCUCUGCCUUGAUGUGGCUGCAAGAAACAUCACCAUCUGGAGCUGGAACGCUUGGCCCAGAAUGGACUUGUUAGCUGUGGACACUCAUCUCUUGUGCCUAGGGGCCAAGGGGUUUGAGUCCCAGUAGAGAUACUGAGGACUCCCAGAAACUCUCAUGCAAAUCCAAGCAUCUUAAGGGCACAGCCAGCUGGAGGAACCUGUUCUCCUGAACGCCUUAUGGGGCACUGCGAUUUUGUAUUACCUGCUCUCAUACAUAUCUCAUACCUUGGCACAGUGACAAUGACCAAGAUCUCUUACUUUCAGUUUAUUUGAAUCUUAAGGCAAAAACAGUCAAAGAAGUUUCUGGGAAACCCUGGGAAGGCUAAAAAGAUUUUUAAUAAACCAUGUGAUGUCUAAAAUUCC